ACGCCAAAAAUGGCAAACCGGCAGAGACUAUGAGACGCAUCUUGAAGUUUCUCCAAACCACUGCAACAAGCCAACCCGCUCUUCUCUUCUCUUCUUAAUAUUUUACCCAUACGCAACCGCCUCCUCCUUCAUCCAACAAAUUCAUUUCCUUCUGACGAGGUUGCUUUCGUUUUCCCUCUCUCUUUUGAUCCGAAAACAUGUGGCCGCCGC
rnacentral:lncRNA from 1 species